rnacentral:rRNA from 1 species
UGGGGAAUAUUGGACAAUGGGGGAAACCCUGAUCCAGCAAUGCCGCGUGAGUGAAGAAGGCCUUUGGGUUGUAAAACUCUUUCAGCAGUGAAGAUAAUGACGGUAACUGAAGAAGAAGCUCCGGCUAACUCCGUGCCAGCAGCCGCGGUAAUACGGAGGGGGCUAGCGUUGUUCGGAAUUACUGGGCGUAAAGCGCGCGUAGGCGGAUCAAAAAGUUAGAUGUGAAAUCCCUAGGCUCAACUUAGGAACUGCAUUUAAAACUAGUGAUCUAGAAUUUGGUAGAGGAUAAUAGAAUUUCCAGUGUAGAGGUGAAAUUCGUAGAUAUUGGAAAGAAUACCAGUGGCGAAGGCGAAUAUCUGGACCAAUUUUGACGCUGAGGUGCGAAAGCGUGGGUAGCAAACAGG